GUGCCAGCAGCCGCGGUAAUACGUAGGUGGCGAGCGUUGUCCGGAAUUACUGGGGGUAAAGGGCGGGUAGGCGGGGAUGCAAGUCAGAUGUGAAAUGCCGAGGCUCAACCUCGGCGCUGCAUCUGAAACUGUGUCUCUUGAGUGUCGGAGAGGAAAGCGGAAUUCCCAGUGUAGCGGUGAAAUGCGUAGAUAUUGGGAGGAACACCGGUGGCGAAGGCGGCUUUCUGGACGACAACUGACGCUGAGGCGCGAAAGCGUGGGGAGCAAACAGGAUUAGAUACCCUGGUAGUCCACGCCGUAAACGAUGGAUACUAGGUGUCGGAGGUCUCGACCCCUUCUGUGCCGGAGUUAACCCAAUAAGUAUCCCACCUGGGGAGUACGGCCGCAAGGUUGAAACUUAAAUAAAUUGACGG
rnacentral:rRNA from 1 species